GAUGAACGCUGGCGGCGUGCCUAAUACAUGCAAGUCUAGCGAACAGACGAGAAGCUUGCUCCUCUGACGUUAGCGGCGGACGGGUGAGUAACACGUGGAUAACCUACCUAUAAGACUGGGAUAACUUCGGGAAACCGGAGCUAAUACCGGAUAAUAUAUUGAACCGCAUGGUUCAAUAGUGAAAGACGGUCUUGCUGUCACUUAUAGAUGGAUCCGCGCUGCAUUAGCUAGUUGGUAAGGUAACGGCUUACCAAGGCAACGAUGCAUAGCCGACCUGAGAGGGUGAUCGGCCACACUGGAACUGAGACACGGUCCAGACUCCUACGGGAGGCAGCAGUAGGGAAUCUUCCGCAAUGGGCGAAAGCCUGACGGAGCAACGCCGCGUGAGUGAUGAAGGUCUUCGGAUCGUAAAACUCUGUUAUUAGGGAAGAACAAAUGUGUAAGUAACUGUGCACAUCUUGACGGCACCUAAUCAGAAAGCCACGGCUAACUACGUG
rnacentral:rRNA from 1 species